CCCCUAGAUGUUCUGGGCCGCACGCGCGCUACACUGAACAGUUCAACAAGUCUUAACCUUGGCCGAUAGGUCUGGGUAAUCUUUGAACGCUGUUCGUGAUUGGGAUAGACCUUUGCAAUUAUGGGUCUUCAACGAGGAAUUCCUAGUAAACGCAAGUCAUCAGCUUGCAUUGAUUACGUCCCUGCCCUUUGUACACACCGCCCGUCGCACCUACCGAUUGAGUGGUCCGGUGAAAUCUCGGGACGGCGGCUUGGUCGCUUGCGUCCGACUGCUGAAACUUGAUUAAACCAUAUCAUUUAGAGGAAGGUGAAGUCGUANCA
rnacentral:rRNA from 1 species